AGUUAAUGAACUUGAAUAAGUAUAUAUUUUGAAAAUAUAAUAUAGGUAAUACCUAUUAACUU
rnacentral:tRNA from 1 species